UGAAGUGUAGCUUAAUGGUAUAGUGCUUGCCUGGCAUGUGUGAAGCCCUAGGUUCAAACCCCCGGCACUGCAA
rnacentral:tRNA from 1 species